UCCUACGGGAGGCAGCAGGGGGAAUUUUCCGCAAUGGGCGAAAGCCUGACGGAGCAACGCCGCGUGAGGGAUGAAGGCCUCUGGGCUGUAAACCUCUUUUAUCAAGGAAGAAGAUCUGACGGUACUUGAUGAAUAAGCCACGGCUAAUUCCGUGCCAGCAGCCGCGGUAAUACGGGAGUGGCAAGCGUUAUCCGGAAUUAUUGGGCGUAAAGCGUCCGCAGGCGGCCCUACAAGUCUGCUGUUAAAAAGUGGAGCUUAACUCCAUCAUGGCAGUGGAAACUGUUGGGCUCGAGUGUGGUAGGGGCAGAGGGAAUUCCCGGUGUAGCGGUGAAAUGCGUAGAUAUCGGGAAGAACACCAGUGGCGAAGGCGCUCUGCUGGGCCAUCACUGACGCUCAUGGACGAAAGCCAGGGGAGCGAAAGGGAUUAGAUACCCCUGUAGUCCUGGCCGUAAACGAUGAACACUAGGUGUCGGGGGAAUCGACCCCUCCGGUGUCGUAGCCAACGCGUUAAGUGUUCCGCCUGGGGAGUACGCACGCAAGUGUGAAACUCAAAGGAAUUGACGG
rnacentral:rRNA from 1 species